rnacentral:rRNA from 1 species
AACGAACGUUGGCGGCGUGGAUUAGGCAUGCAAGUCGUACGUGAAAGGUUUCGCAAGAGACCGAGUAAAGUGGCGGAAGGGUGAGUAAUGCAUAGAUAACUUGCCCCUGAGAUGGGAAUAACUACUCGAAAGGGUUGCUAAUACCCAAUAUGACCACGGUUCACAUGAUCCGUGCUAAAAGGCGGGGACCCGCAAGGGCCUGCCACUCAGGGAGAGGUUUA